UUUAUCUUCUGUUUUCUUCUAAACUCUGUAGAGGACAGAUACAGUGGUACAUACCUAUAAUUCCAGCAACUCAGGAGGCUGAGGCAGGAGGAUCACAUGUUCAAGGACAGUCUGAGCAACUUAGUGAGACUCUGUCUCAAAAUAAAAAAUAUAAAAAGCUGGGCAUGUAUCUCAGUGAUAGAGGAUCCCUGGGUUCAAUCCCUGUACCACAAAAGUAAAUAAAUAAACAAAUAUAGUUUUAUUUUUUAUAUAUUGAUCCAUAUCCCAUUUUGUCUUAAAACUUUUGAAAGAAUUUUUAGACGAUGUUACUUGUUCAUUGAAACCAGCAUGACCAUUUAUUUACCUUUGGUCCUGUUAGAUGAGCUUAGCCCUUAGUUCUAUCAGAUGAUUCAUGCUCUUAAUCAAUCAACAGUAUUGAUGACAUGGCAUUUCACAUUCAUUACUGCCUCUGAGCAGUUGAGAACCACCCUGGUUGGAUACCCUGUGUUCCCAGCUCAUGUUCCUAAUCUCACUGUCUUUAGUUAUUUCCAUGGAUCUGCAGUUAUUUUCUUUAAAAAAAAAGCACUCAAUUUUUAAAAUAUUUUUUAAUUGUAGAUGGACACAAGACCUUUAUGUCAUUUACUUAUAUGUGGUGCUGAGGAUCGAACCCAGUGCCUCACACAUGCCAGGCAAGUGCUCCAUCACUGAGCCCGAACCUCAGCCCUACAGUAAUUUUCAUUAGCAGAAUGUAAUCAAGGCGUUUAGAGUCUAAAAGGGUGGGGGGAUAACUGUCUUAUAUCUUUUCUCAGUAAAAUUCCAUUUUUUUUCCUUUUUGACAUGUGUAUAUAUAUUAAAUAUAUAUACACAUAUAUUUAAUCUGAACAAAAUGAAGAACAAAAAUGGAAGCAUUUUUUUGCAUAAUUUAAAUUUACAAAGUUCUCCAGUCCUCUACAUCUUGACCUUACAGAUGUCAGAGUUUUACUUAGAGCUAAGAAGAGCUUCGAGGUCACUCUUUAGUCCACUUUAUCAAGUCCACAGAUAUUUUUCCUGAGCACCACCUGUGAGCCAGGGACUUUGGACAGUCCCUAUGAGAAAAUCAACUUCCGGGCACGUGAAGGUAGCUGUCAGUAACCCGUGGCUUAUCCAGGCGCCUGCGGUUGCAGUCCUCAGAGUUCUGUCCUCCCCACCUCCUCAGAGUUCUGUCCUCCCCACCUGCCUCCACAUGCUUGCCAGGUCACUGCUCUCUUCCCUGCCUGCCCCUGCAGCAGUCCCUGCCCCAUGGGAAUGACAGGGCACACAUGGUUCCCAGGAGGAGACUUAGCUCAGGGAAGUGACAUGUGGGAGGGAAAUGUGCUGGAAGUGAGUUUAUA
rnacentral:lncRNA from 1 species